rnacentral:sRNA from 1 species
AUAAUGCGUGCACACACCCAUACCCACACACACACACAUACACACAUAUAAAAUAAAUAAAAUUAGCUGGGCAUGGUAGUGUGCACCGUUAGUCCCAGCUACUUGGAAGGCUGAGGUGGAAGGAUUACUUGAGCCCAGGAGUUUGAGACCAGCCUCGGUUAUACAGCAAGACCCCCAUCUCAAAAAAGGUAAAUAUUCAGGAGUUCUCACUACCCAUCUCUAGCCACAGUUAACAUUUUGAUGUAUAUUUAUCAAAUAAGAGUGAGAUCAUAGUUUUUUCCCUGAUUUUUUUCACUUCAUAAAGAAUCAAAUUUCUCUGUUACUUAGUAUUAUUUUAUAGAAAUACUUAAAAUGUAUCAUUUACUAGUUUUUUUAAGUACAGAGAUGUAUCAAGAUGUGUAAGAAGGCAAGUAGUCCAUAAUCUCAUGCAGCAAUAUUUUAAUAUAUUCCAUUUUAUAAAUGUACUAUAAUUAGCUCCUUGUUUUUGGACAUUUGGGUUGUUUCUGAUUUUUUUGCUACUUUAAAGUGUGCUGUAGUAAACAUCUUUGCAUGUUUCUAUGAUUGUUUUUUUAGGAUAAAUUCCUGGAAGUGGAAUUGCUGGGUUAAAUGUGUGCAAUCAUCCAGUCAUAUAAUGAAGACACUUUACCUUGUGCGUCUAAUGCUAGUGUUGGCACCUGUUAUGUGCAUUCUCUCUGGCAUUGGAGUCUCCCAGGUGCUGUCCACAUACAUGAAGAAUCUGGACAUAAGUCGUCCAGACAAGAAGAGCAAGAAGCAACAGGAUUCCACCUACCCUAUUAAGAAUGAAGUGGCAAGUGGGAUGAUACUGGUCAUGGCUUUCUUUCUCAUCACCUACACCUUUCAUUCAACCUGGGUGACCAGUGAGGCCUACUCUUCUCCAUCCAUUGUACUAUCUGCCCGUGGUGGGGAUGGCAGUAGGAUCAUAUUUGAUGACUUCCG